AACGAACGCUGGCGGCAUGCCUAACACAUGCAAGUCGAACGAGAUCUUCGGGUCUAGUGGCGCACGGGUGCGUAACGCGUGGGAAUCUGCCCUUUGGUUCGGAAUAACAGUUGGAAACGACUGCUAAUGCCGGAUGAUGACGAAAGUCCAAAGAUUUAUCGCCAGAGGAUGAGCCCGCGUAGGAUUAGCUAGUUGGUGUGGUAAAGGCGCACCAAGGCGACGAUCCUUAGCUGGUCUGAGAGGAUGAUCAGCCACACUGGGACUGAGACACGGCCCAGACUCCUACGGGAGGCAGCAGUGGGGAAUAUUGGACAAUGGGCGAAAGCCUGAUCCAGCAAUGCCGCGCGAGUGAUGAAGGCCUUAGGGUUGUAAAGCUCUUUUACCCGGGAUGAUAAUGACAGUACCGGGAGAAUAAGCUCCGGCUAACUCCGUGCCAGCCGCCGCGGUAA
rnacentral:rRNA from 1 species